rnacentral:rRNA from 1 species
AUUGAACGCUGGCGGCGUGCUUAACACAUGCAAGUCGAACGAAGUGGCGAACGGGUGAGUAACGCGUAAUAAACCUGCACUUCAGAGGGGGACAACAGUUGGAAACGACUGCUAAUACCGCAUAAUGAAGGAGGGGAUUGCGUCUGAUUAGCUAGUUGGAGGGGUAACGGCCCACCAGGGCGAGGGUCAGUCGCCGGUCUGAGAGGAGGAACGGCCACAUUGGGACUGUGGCACGGCCCAGACUCCUACGGGAGGCAGCAGUGGGGAAUCUUCCGCAAUGGACGAAAGUCUGACGGAGCAACGCCGCGUGAGUGAUGACGGCCUUCGGGUUGUAAAGCUCUGUUAAUCGGGACGCGGUACCGGAAUAGAAAGCCACGGCUAACUACGUGCCAGCAGCCGCGGUAAUUC